UAAACAGACAUAGUACAGUGCUGAUUUCAAAAUAUUUUCACGCUUUAAUAGUUGCACGUAGCAUGAGAAUAUUUUUAAAUCAGCACUGUACUAUGUCUAUU